rnacentral:rRNA from 1 species
UGAGUAACACGUGGGCAAUCUGCCCUGCACUUCGGGAUAAGCCUGGGAAACUGGGUCUAAUACCGGAUAGGACCUUUAGGCGCAUGUCUUUAGGUGGAAAGCUUUUGCGGUGUGGGAUGGGCCCGCGGCCUAUCAGCUUGUUGGUGGGGUGAUGGCCUACCAAGGCGACGACGGGUAGCCGGCCUGAGAGGGUGUCCGGCCACACUGGGACUGAGAUACGGCCCAGACUCCUACGGGAGGCAGCAGUGGGGAAUAUUGCACAAUGGGCGCAAGCCUGAUGCAGCGACGCCGCGUGGGGGAUGACGGCCUUCGGGUUGUAAACCUCUUUCACCAUCGACGAAGGUCCGGGUUUUCUCGGAUUGACGGUAGGUGGAGAAGAAGCACCGGCCAACUACGUGCCAGCAGCCGCGGUAAUACGUAGGGUGCGAGCGUUGUCCGGAAUUACUGGGCGUAAAGAGCUCGUAGGUGGUUUGUCGCGUUGUUCGUGAAAUCUCACGGCUUAACUGUGAGCGUGCGGGCGAUACGGGCAGACUAGAGUACUGCAGGGGAGACUGGAAUUCCUGGUGUAGCGGUGGAAUGCGCAGAUAUCAGGAGGAACACCGGUGGCGAAGGCGGGUCUCUGGGCAGUAACUGACGCUGAGGAGCGAAAGCGUGGGGAGCGAACAGGAUUAGAUACCCUGGUAGUCCACGCCGUAAACGGUGGGUACUAGGUGUGGGUUUCCUUCCUUGGGAUCCGUGCCGUAGCUAACGCAUUAAGUACCCCCGCCUGGGGGAGUACGGGCCGCAAGGCUAAAACUCAAAAGGAAUUGACGGGGGGCCCGCACAA